rnacentral:rRNA from 1 species
GCUAUCUACAGGCUUAACACAUGCAAGUCGAGGGGCAGCAUGGUCUUAGCUUGCUAAGGCCGAUGGCGACCGGCGCACGGGUGAGUAACACGUAUCCAACCUGCCGUCUACUCUUGGACAGCCUUCUGAAAGGAAGAUUAAUACAAGAUGGCAUCAUGAGUCCGCAUGUUCACAUGAUUAAAGGUAUUCCGGUAGACGAUGGGGAUGCGUUCCAUUAGAUAGUAGGCGGGGUAACGGCCCACCUAGUCUUCGAUGGAUAGGGGUUCUGAGAGGAAGGUCCCCCACAUUGGAACUGAGACACGGUCCAAACUCCUACGGGAGGCUGCAGUGAGGAAUAUUGGUCAAUGGGCGCAGGCCUGAACCAGCCAAGUAGCGUGAAGGAUGACUGCCCUAUGGGUUGUAAACUUCUUUUAUAAAGGAAUAAAGUCGGGUAUGGAUACCCGUUUGCAUGUACUUUAUGAAUAAGGAUCGGCUAACUCCGUGCCAGCAGCCGCGGUAAUACGGAGGAUCCGAGCGUUAUCCGGAUUUAUUGGGUUUAAAGGGAGCGUGGAUGGAUGUUUAAGUCAGUUGUGAAAGUUUGCAGCUCAACCGUAAAAUUACAGUUGAUACUGGAUAUCUUGAGUGCAGUUGAGGCAGGCGGAAUUCGUGGUGUAGCGGUGAAAUGCUUAGAUAUCACGAAGAACUCCGAUUGCGAAGGCAGCCUGCUAAGCUGCAACUGACAUUGAGGCUCGAAAGUGUGGGUAUCAAACAGGAUUAGAUACCCUGGUAGUCCACACGGUAAAACGAUGAAUACUCCGCUGUUUGCGAUAUACAGCAAGCGGCCAAGCGAAAGCGUUAAGUAUUCCACCUGGGGAGUACGCCGGCAACGGUGAAACUCAAAGGAAUUGACGGGGGCCCGCACAAGCGGAGGAACAUGUGGUUUAAUUCGAUGAUACGCGAGGAACCUUACCCGGGCUUAAAUUGCAGAUGAAUUACGGUGAAAGCCGUAAGCCGCAAGGCAUCUGUGAGGGUGCUGCAUGGUUGUCGUCAGCUCGUGCCGUGAGGUGUCGGCUUAAGUGCCAUAACGAGCGCAACCCUUGUUGUCAGUUACUAACAGGUUCCGCUGAGGACUCUGACAAGACUGCCAUCGUAAGAUGUGAGGAAGGUGGGGAUGACGUCAAAUCAGCACGGCCCUUACGUCCGGGGCUACACACGUGUUACAAUGGGGGGUACAGAGGGCCGCUACCACGCGAGUGGAUGCCAAUCCCCAAAACCUCUCUCAGUUCGGACUGGAGUCUGCAACCCGACUCCACGAAGCUGGAUUCGCUAGUAAUCGCGCAUCAGCCAUGGCGCGGUGAAUACGUUCCCGGGCCUUGUACACACCGCCCGUCAAGCCAUGAAAGCCGGGGGCGCCUGAAGUCCGUGACCGCAAGGAUCGGCCUAGGGCGAAACUGGUGAUUGGGGCUAAG